rnacentral:rRNA from 1 species
GAUGAACGCUGGCGGCGUGCCUAAUACAUGCAAGUCGAGCGAACAGACGAGGAGCUUGCUCCUCUGACGUUAGCGGCGGACGGGUGAGUAACACGUGGAUAACCUACCUAUAAGACUGGGAUAACUUCGGGAAACCGGAGCUAAUACCGGAUAAUAUAUUGAACCGCAUGGUUCAAUAGUGAAAGACGGUUUUGCUGUCACUCAUAGAUGGAUCCGCGCCGCAUUAGCUAGUUGGUAAGGUAACGGCUUACCAAGGCAACGAUGCGUAGCCGACCUGAGAGGGUGAUCGGCCACACUGGAACUGAGACACGGUCCAGACUCCUACGGGAGGCAGCAGUAGGGAAUCUUCCGCAAUGGGCGAAAGCCUGACGGAGCAACGCCGCGUGAGUGAUGAAGGUCUUCGGAUCGUAAAACUCUGUUAUUAGGGAAGAACAAAUGUGUAAGUAACUAUGCACGUCCUGACGGUACCUAAUCAGAAAGCCACGGCUAACUACGUG